rnacentral:lncRNA from 1 species
UCCUUCGUCGCCUCGGAUCUCGUGCCAACUUCCAAAAGCUCGUAUCUUCUCUGUCCGAGCUUCGUUUGGGACGAUCUUGGUCUCGUUGGACUCCAUUUUUCACCACGAACCUCGUUGUGGGCUCAAUAUGGGCUGAAUCUUGAGACAUCAAAUCCUAACACAAAUAAGUGCAGACCCCAUGAAUCACAAAUAAUAAAGGCUACUGUAACCAUAUAAGGGACAACUGAAGAAUCAAAAUUUAUUUUAAUUGCUUCACAGGGAGGAGGUGUCCACAUGAUUUUAGGAGAAGAAAAGUGUUACAGCUAAGAUAGAGACGAAGCACCACUUUGAAAAAAUAUGAAAUAACGAGGGGAUGAAGUUGGUCGUGCCGUUAACCCCAUCUCCCACAUCCAUAGUUCGAGCCCACAGGAGUCGAUUAAAUGAGGGGAUUAAUUUUUUCGAUGUCCGGAUAUCUGAGUGGUGGGGUGGUAUGCGGAUCCUCUGGGCAUGGAUGGUGCUGGGAGUGACGUACUUAUCUGAUCCACUUGGACAUGGUGGAGAGAGGUUGAGCCAUCUUUAUUGUUGCUCCGCAUCGAAUAUUUCUCCAACAGAUUGGAGGUCCUCAUGAUCACAUUCAGAAGGGAUAGCUACAUU